AAUAUAAGCCCCCCGAAUAUAAGCCCACCCCUACAUAGGCCCACCCGUAUAUAAGCCCAUCACACUAUAAUACCGGUAAAUUACACAAAAUAAUCCACUACAUUGCAUUAAAUUUCAACUAAGACUACGUCUACGGUAUGUAUUUAUUUAAACAAAGGUUACUGAUGCCUCUUCUGAAUCUGAUUCUUCAAGUACUGUCAGUGAUACAGACGGCUAAGACUGUUAACGUACCUGGUAUCGGCUAUGAGGACGUUUUAUAAGACAUGGAUGGCCCACAAAAACCGCGUUCAUAUAGAAACUAUAGAAACUAUACUAUAAUCGCGUCUCGUUGAUGACAGUCAGUGUUCUAUUAUUUUUUGUUUAAAAUUGCUAAAAUUUAACAAUAAACAGCGUGUUUUCUUACUAUUAACCUAAGAUGUGGUCCGUGUAUAAUCCCCCCCCCCCGUAUAUAAGCCCCCCCCCCAUGUAUAAGCCCAUCAAAAA